AUUGAACGCUGGCGGCAGGCCUAACACAUGCAAGUCGAGCGAGCGGCGGACGGGUGAGUAAUGUCUGGGGAUCUGCCCGAUAGAGGGGGAUCACUACUGGAAACGGUGGCUAAUACCGCAUACUAUCGGAUGAACCCAUAUGGGAUUAGCUAGUCGGUGGGGUAAAGGCUCACCUAGGCGACGAUCCCUAGCUGGUCUGAUAGGAUGAUCAGCCACACUGGGACUGAGACACGGCCCAGACUCCUACGGGAGGCAGCAGUGGGGAAUAUUGCACAAUGGGCUCAAGCCUGAUGCAGCCAUGCCGCGUGUAUGAAGAAGGCCUUAGGGUUGUAAAGUACUUUCAGCGAGGAGGCGUUACCCGCAGAAGAAGCACCGGCUAACUCCGUGCCAGCAGCCGCGGUAAUAC
rnacentral:rRNA from 1 species